GGGGAAUAUUGGACAAUGGGCGCAAGCCUGAUCCAGCCAUGCCGCGUGAGUGAUGAAGGCCUUAGGGUUGUAAAGCUCUUUCACCGAUGAAGAUAAUGACGGUAGUCGGAGAAGAAGCCCCGGCUAACUUCGUGCCAGCAGCCGCGGUAAUACGAAGGGGGCUAGCGUUGUUCGGAAUUACUGGGCGUAAAGCGCACGUAGGCGGAUAUUUAAGUCAGGGGUGAAAUCCCAGAGCUCAACUCUGGAACUGCCUUUGAUACUGGGUAUCUUGAGUAUGGAAGAGGUAAGUGGAAUUGCGAGUGUAGAGGUGAAAUUCGUAGAUAUUCGGAAGAACACCAGUGGCGAAGGCGGCUCACUGGACGAUUGUUGACGCUGAGGUGCGAAAGCGUGGGGAGCAAA
rnacentral:rRNA from 1 species